AAAAAAGUUUUAUAGUGUACUAAUCAUACUCUCUAGACCUAAAUCCUCACACACAACUUUCUGCAUUUGCACACAGUGAUUAUGGUGAUUUCAGUUUUAUUCUCUUUGUGAGACUGUUUGGAAUCAUGCAAUGACCUGACGCCUUCAUGAGUUUCAGAAAGAGAGUGGCAGAGAAAGCACCGUCUUGAUGUCUAAUCAAGGCAGAAAAACAACAACACCUGUACACUGAGACGGCUCUUAUGGGUUUGAGUCAUUUCUAGUUAAACAUUAUUACCUUUUAUUAAUCAGUGUUUCAUAACAAGAUGUGCACUGUCUUUCAAAAAUCACACGUUCAUAUGCACUCACACACUUUCUUUCUUAAUAAGGUUUCUCUCUUUGAAUGUGUGUCUGAAAUCAGCUUGACAGACGGAGCUCAUGAGGAUCCAAUAUAACUUAUUAACAAAAUUCUGUUCUUGCAUUCUUAGAAUGUUUUGCUUACAUUCCCAUUAAGUUCUUAAAACUUUAUUUCUGAAUGCCUUUUAAACGUUCAAGACAUCCUGUUUUUUUUAAUGUAUUAAAAAUAUAUUUUCUUAGUUUAUGUGAGCAUUAGAGGAACAUUCCAUUCUAUCAUUUUGAAAAUGUUUUGAAAACGUUAUUUCUGAAUGUUUUCUUAACGUUCAAAGUGUCCAGCUUUUUAAAUGGUUGAAGAACGUUUUUUCUUGGUUAUGCAAAAAUCCUCUAAAAAUCAAAUGAGCAUAAGACCCUGAGAACUAACUACUGUAAAUUAUCUGAGGAACAUGUGCAGAACUGUUCUGGGUGUUUUCCUCCAUGGCUCUGUGAUCUUCUGGUUCAGCAGGUGAAAAUGGUGUCGAUUUCACUUAAUAAGCAGCAGCACACUCUCCUCAAUGACACGCAAGAUCUGAGGAAUCAUUCAUGACUGAUAUUACAGCAGAAGAUCGUCUGAAAAUACAGCAUGACACAAACACUGAUUUACGGGGGUUUGUGACAGAUUCACACAGUGAAAUUACUCGUGAAGAGAGAAGGGAAGGAAAAAUCUCCCUCCCUCCAUGUCAAAAUGUUUGAAUGUUCUCAUGAGGGCCGCUGCAUUAUACUGCGUUUGAGAAUAAACAGGCAGGACAGACGCUCAUCAUUUAUGGCUUUAAUACAAGCGUCAGUGGCAGUAUAAAUGUGCUCUGAGCGAUUCACAAUCCCAGAAUCCCCGACCUCAACCCCAGCGUGUCCCUGGCGUGCUUCUAUUUUAGAAACGCUGCACUAUUCUUCUGCUUUGCGCUUUUGCUGAAGCCCUUAAAGAGAAAUCCCUGCUGUCAAAUGUUAUCUUUGAAGGCCCAGAGCUCAGUGUUGCUGGUAGGCUUUUGAUUAUUAUUUUUAUUUGCUCAGCAGAACAGAAUAUCAUACGACAGAUGUGAGGCAGAUAAGACAGUUUACAACUAAUAUUUUAUAAAGGCUUCAUAUCCCUCAUGCAACAUGAUGAGAUUCCAUAUUCAGCCUCUGAAGACUGACUGGCAAAACCUGCCUGUGGCAACAUUUCUGCACCAAAUAACGUUGCUUCUUGUACAUUUCAAAGUGAUUGGCACUAAAAGCACUUUCAGGCUUAAUGAAAGAUUUGAAUGUGAAUCUGGCAACACUUUAUUACGAUUAUUGUUGAAUGUACAACAUCGCAGCAGUUCAGAAGUCAUGAGUCAUGUUUGACAGACUCGUACCUGAGCGCUUCACAUCACAGAGCAAUACAUCACAAAAACAAACAUGAAUCAUGUACUGUGAUGUUUUGAGCUCAUAACAUAAUAUUGUGUAAUGAACCAACUUUAUUAAUCAAAAAUCUGCCCUGUAAUCAUAAUUUGUGUAAAAGGGAAUAACAUUUUUACUGUGUUUUACUGUGACAAGUGUUCAUUUCAGCUGAAAACUGCAGUGAUUUUUUAUCGUUGGUACAGGCACGUUUUUCCCUUGAGUCUGUUCUAGCCAAUAACUGCUGGACUCCUCUUCCUGUACCAAACCGCUAGAGUGUCUUUGUUGACUAAACUCACCCUCGUCUUCAUCAUCUCGCUCAUGACAGGUCACAUUAGCAGAUGUCAUUGUUGCCAAGGAGACAGAAUGAUAUCGCAUCACUUCCUCCGACACGCUUUAAUUAUGACUUGAACUUCACUGAAGGAGGUGAAAGGUCACAUCUCUGGACGUGAUCUGAAUCCACAAAACUCACCUGGAAUCAGUACAUUUAGGGAUAUAUUUAGCCUUUGGUCAAUUUAUCAUAAAUAACAUUAUAUUUUACAUUUGAGUAAUAUACACACAUGAACCCCACUGUGACCCCAAAAACAGCAGAAACACACCCUAAUUAAACACAAACGAGGGAAACAUUCAUCCCAUCUUCACAAACCAGAUACAGACUUUCAUUUUCUUUAGUUUGUUACCUAAAACACUAAAUUCAGCUGAGAUCAAACAUGAGUGUGAACAGCAUCAGUAAUAUUAUUCAUAAUAUUAAUAUGAACACAGCACCAGAUGAAAGACAGUGGCACUGUUGGAAAUGCUGUCCUCUUUCCCGUGAGCUUCAGUGUUAUCAUCAUAUUUAAAAGCACUUUAACAAGCAUCAGAGUGAAGCAGCAGAUUUGUCAGUGUGAUGCUCAUAUUUUCGAUUUGCAGCAGAUUCUGUGGCUAAUAAACCUCCAGCACUUGAAUAUGACAUUUGGACAUGACAGAUAAACACACAUGUUGAGUUGGAGCGCAUCCUCGGCGCUGACCUGCUGUCCUGUUAUCAGAGUCCCCCAGCAACCAUCUGUCUCAGAGCAGGACAAACUCAAGCGAGCGCUCAGAUCUGCAGCACAAUGCAGGACGAGCAGACGCUUCGCUCUGAACGCUUCACAGAUGGACUGUAAGUUCCCUUCCCUGUGAUACCAGUCUUCAUCAGCUCGCUUUGACUUUCUUGCUUUGUAAUUCAAACAUGCAAACCCACAAGAGCCUCUUCAGUUUACAUAUUUAAUCACCCUAGUGUUUCAUUACAACUAGUAAUAGCAAAAGCGUGUAAAAAAGCCUUAAUAAACACUGCCAUCAUUUUUCAAAAUCCACAGAAGUCUGACAGGAGCAUUAUUCCAGGUUUUCUUUGUUUAAAUUUUCUGUGCCACAUUUUUUUUUUAUUUUUUUUUUAAGAAUUAUAUAAAUGCACUUUGGG
ensembl:lncRNA